UUUGGGCCCCUCCUUUUUUUUUCUUCUUGGCUAAAGGUCUGUCAAUUUUGUUUAUCUUUUCAAAGAACUAGCUCUUAGGUUCGUUGAUCGUUUACCUACUUUUUUAAAAGAUUUUAUUUAUCCAUUUGACACACAGAGAGAAAGCACAAGCAGGGGGAGCAGUAAGCAGAGGGUGAGGGAGAUGAAGGCUCCCUGAUCAGCACGGAUCCACGUGGGGCUGGAUUCUAGACCCUGGGAUCAUGAUCUGAGCCAAAGGCAAACACUUAACGCAUUGAGCCACCCAAGCCCCCCUGAUCCUUCCUACUUUUUAUUUCAGUAUCUAUUUCAUUUAUUUCCACUCUUAUCUUUAUUAUUUCCCUUCUUCUACCAACUUUGAGCUUCAUUUGUUCUUUUUCUAGUUCCUUUAAAGUUUAGAUUAAGAUUUGUCUUGUUUCUUGUUUCUUCAGUCCUUUAUUGCAAUAAACUUCCCUCUUAUAACUACCUUUGCUGCAUCCCACAGAUUUUGGAAUGUUCUAUUUCCUUUUUUUUUUUUUAAUUUAUUUAUUCAUGAGAGACACAGAGAGGAAGGAAGAGACACAGGCAGAGGGACAAGCAGGCUUCCGGUGGGGAGCCCAAUGCAGGACUUGAUCCCAGGACCCUGGGAUCACGACCUGAGCUGAAAGCAAAUGCUCAACCACUAAGCCACCCAAGUGCCCACUAUGCUGUAUUUCCAUUUUCAUUUGUUCAAGGUAUUUUUUGUAUUUCUGCUCGGAUUUCUUUGUUGACCCACUGAUUUUUCAGCAGCAUGUUGUUUAAUUACCACGUAUUUGUGAGCUUUCCAGUUUUCUUCUUGUGAUUGAUUUCUACCCUCAUAAUAUUGUUGGAACAGAUGCUGAAUAUGAUUUUAAUCUUCUUAAAUUUAUUGAGACUUGAUUUGUGACCUAACAUAUGAUCUAUCCAGGAGAAUGUUUCAUGUGCACUUGAAAAGAAGCUGUCCACUCUUUUCCCUGGUCCCUUCCAUUCUACAUGAAGUUAUUUUAACUUAUCUCUUUUGAUUAUCAUCAUGAACCCAAAGACUUUCACAAACACAACUUAUUUUAAUUAUUUUAUAUGUAUAUAUAAUUAUAUAUAUGUAUUUCUUUUUAACAUUAUAAUUGCUACAAGUUGGAGUUAAGAAGAGCUUGAAUGACUUUUUUUGUCCUUACAACACUUACACUUUUAUUCUAAAAGCAUAUUUAUUUUGGCUUUCAGAUGGUCCAGAUAGAACUUGAUGGUCCUCCUAUAUUAAGAAAUUAAAUCAGCUGUAAUCCAAGCCAUCUCAGAUAUUUUGGGAAAGAAUAUGGAUAUAUCUAAUGUUUCUGGGGGAAAGUUCCACUGAUAUUUUUUAGAACCUCUUUAGUGACAGCUAGGAAAGAUCAUUUCAAGUUUUUAUCUUUGCACUAACUUUUCCCACUUAGCUUUUCUUACAAUGUGAGGUUUCAUCAAGAAGUAAGCCUUUAUCUUCCACAGUGCUUUUGAUGUUUUAUAUUUUCUUUUUUAACUCCUAACUUUCAUAAUUUUCUAUGAAAAGGAGUGAAAAUAACCAACAACGUCAAGGAUUUGGUAAUUACUUUUUUUUCUCCAAUAAAACUUCUGUCAGUAAUCUUCAAUUUUGAUUUACUUAUCCUUGGAGGCUUCAUUAGACCUACCAAUGAACUAGGCAUCAUUUUAACUAGAAUUAACACUUUCAUCGUUUAUGAAUAUAUAUGUAAGACAAACUUUGAAAUGCUGGCCACGUGGGAAUUCAAAUUGCCAUGGCAAAAUUACAAUUUUUUUCAUGAAAUACUACUACUCCAUGGCUACCAGACAAUAAAUAAAUAAACAUUCUUUGUUAUCAUAGUGAGAGAAAUUCAAAAAAGCAUUGCUAUCUCCUUUAGGAAUUCUCACAUACUUUGAUCAUGCCUUUGAAGUAAUAUUCACUUAAAGAUACAUUUCAGAAGUAAUGCUAGAUUCUUUUCAAUGUUUCAUUAGUAGGCAUAAGAACUGCAUGAUAUGUUUUACAUUUAUCAGUCAGGCCAUUCAAUCAUGUUAAAUAUCACUAAUAGCUAUAGUUUAAAGAUCACAAUCCCUUCUUUAAAAUGUCAGGUAUACACACACACAAAAAGAGUCUUGUUUGAAAGUGAUGCAUUACACAAUUAUUUCUCAAUGUCUUCCAACCAAGUUUUUGUGCAUUUAUUACUAGACAUUAUUAAAAGAAGGGAGGUAGGGAGAGAUAGAGAAGAGGGGGAAAGAGAAGGACAAGGGCAAAAGAAAGCAAGGGAAGAGCUCUUCUAUUUGAAGAGCAAGACUCUAUUCAAACAGUGAAUAGCACUGACAUUCCUUAAAAAGGAGAUGAUAAUACUGUGAAAUACUGAAAAUAUAUUUGAAGAUUAAGUGCCAAAUUAUUUUUCCAAAUUCUUAGUUUGGAAUUAUAAUAAAUGUGAUGAAUUAGAAUAAAUGAUUAGAAUAUCUAUCUAUAUCUAGUUAUAUUAAAAGACAAGAAUAAGAAUGGCAUAAAUGUAAUAAAAAAUCUAUAGAAAAGUUAAAUUAGGUACAUAGUAUAAGAAAUCUCAAAUAUAAAUGAACAUAAUGAUAAAAUAUUCAUUACGCAACUUAUGUUGAUUUCUUCAAAGGCAUAAAUAUGAGAAAUGGGUAGGCGGUAGAGAGUAAGAAAGAGAAACAUAAAAGUAAAUGAAUACAAACUACAGUAAUAAUAAAUCUGCAAGGGGGCACUAUUGAAGAUAUAUAUCCCCAAAACUCAUCUGCAUACAAAAAGUAUCACAAAAAACACACCUUAUAAUUUAAAACGAUUACUUUAGCUCAAGAGAAAGGUUUUUAUUAAACCUUAAACAAGGGGGAUCCCUAGGUGGAUCAGCCCAGGGCCUGAUCCUGGAGCCCCGGGAUCGAGUCCCACAUCAGGCUCCCUGCAUGGAGCCUGCUUCUCCCUCUGCCUGUGUCUCUGCCUCUCUCUCUCUCUCUGUCUGUGUGUGUGUCUCUCAUGAAUGAAUGAAUGAAAUCUUUAAAAAAAAAAAAAGGAAAAGAAAAAGAAAAAGAACUGUAAAAAAAACCCACUAGUACAGGAUUAUCAAAAAUUAGAGAGAAUUUCUUUUUAAAUGCUCAUUCUAACUAUAUUUUAUAACAUAAAAAGCAAAAUAUAUAAAAUUGUGGACACUAUAUAAGUAUAAAAGCAACAGCUCAAUUAUUUAAACAGUAUUGUAUGGCAAGUUCUGCAUGUACUGAGUAGCAGAGAUCUCAGUAUUUCACAGCAAUUCACAGUUCCCAGGAUGUAAUAGGCAUGCAAUAAAUAUUAAGGUUAUGGACUACCUUAAUAAACACAUAUCCAACAUUGCUGAAAGUUCAAUAAAAUCUGAAAGUAGGGAGAAAAAAUGGGAACUGACUGGAAAUUGAAUCUCAUAAGUUCACAUAAAAUCUGUUUCUUUGUAAUUUCUAGGUAAGAGACAAUCUGAAUUUUAUAAUUUGUUCCUGCAUAUUAUUUUACACAAAGAACAUAAAUUAUCAACUCACCAAUUUUUAACAAAUGCAUCUUCAGUGUCUACUACGGCAACGAGUCAAGAUAUUCCUGAGUAAGAAUUAACAAGCUAGUAUCAGAGGCUUUGAGAAAAGGCUUAAAAGCAAAAAGCCAACACUGAACCAAUACUUCUCUGAUGAAAACACACACACACACACACACACACACACACACACACACACCCUACAUUUUACUGAUUUUUUUUUCUCUCAGGUAGUUCUGGAUCUUUGCAAAAAUCUAAUUCUGUUUCCCAAAAUAGAUCAAUAUGAAAUCCCCUGUGAACACUUUUAAAAUUAUAUUCCUUAGCACAGAUGCUUCAAUAAAUAACUGAAUAAAAAGAUGGCUAACUUUGGAGGAAAACAGUUCCACUAGAAGUUUUAUUCUAUAUUUAACUGCAAAAAUGUUACACCCUAAUAAUUGGCUCAAAAGGAAGCAGCCUCUGCCCCUCUGGCCAACUUAGUAAUAUUUAAGCUUUAGUAAGCACCCUUAGCCAGCGUGAUUGAUUAACCUUUCUUCACAUAUCUGUAGAUUAUGCAUUCUCUCCUUGAAAGAACAGAGCACCUCUGCACAAGCCCCAGGCACUAAGGAACCAGACUCCCUUGCACAACCUUCAAGCACUGAGAUAACACCUGUAGCUGGCACAAUCAAGUCUGCACAUAAUCAUGAAAUGUUAAAGACCACGGUACUCCCUUCAUUGACUAACUACUCUAAACUCCUAAAAAAAAAAAAAAAAAAAAAA
rnacentral:lncRNA from 1 species